AAUGGGGGAAACCCUGACGCAGCCAUGCCGCGUGAGUGACGAAGGCCUUAGGGUUGUAAAGCUCUUUCAGAUGCGAAGAUAAUGACGGUAACAUCAGAAGAAGCUCCGGCUAAAUUCGUGCCAGCAGCCGCGGUAAUACGAAUGGAGCAAGCGUUGUUCGGAAUCACUGGGCGUAAAGCGUACGUAGGCGGAUUAACAAGUCAGAAGUGAAAGCCCAGGGCUCAACCCUGGAACGGCUUUUGAAACUAUUGAUCUAGAGUCCCGGAGAGGUUAGGGGAAUUCCGAGUGUAGCAGUGAAAUGCGCAGAUAUUCGGAGGAACACCAGUGGCGUAGGCGCCUAACUGGACGGGAACUGACGCUGAGGUACGAAAGCGUGGGGAGCAAACAGGAUU
rnacentral:rRNA from 1 species